CAUAUGCUUGUCUCAAAGAUUAAGCCAUGCAUGUCUCAGUACAAGCCGCAUUAAGGUGAAACCGCGAAAGGCUCAUUAAAUCAGUUAUGGUUCCUUAGAUCGUACCCACAUUUACUUGGAUAACUGUGGUAAUUCUAGAGCUAAUACAUGCAAACAGAGUUCCGACCGGAGACGGGAGGAAUGCUUUUAUUAGAUCAAAACCAAUCGGCGGCGGGCCUCGGUCCGUUCGCCGCUCAAUUUGGUGACUCUGAAUAACUUUCGGCUGAUCGCACGGUCUCGCACCGGCGACGCAUCUU
rnacentral:rRNA from 1 species